UGUGGGUGAACACAGAAGGUGCAAACAGCUCAUUACAUAAUUGACAUGUCUGCUUUAUGAUACUAUUGUAUAAGCCUUCAGCUGAGUAGAAUAUUCUUUACAGUUACUAUUGUGAAUUGCCUCUUUUUUUUUAUUGUUAUACUACACACAAAAAAACAACAACAACAUAUUCACCACUUUUUCAAUAGUUUUGUAGAAACUAAUGUUUAAUGUGCCUUUGGGACUACAUUCUAAAACUAGGGAAGAAAAAAGCCAGUAUUAUCACAUUUCAAAAUAUUAAAAACUUUAUUUUAAAUCUUCAUUGGCCAGAUAGGAAUUACAAUAAGUAUUUGUUCAUUCAUUAUAGUUGUUUUAGAAAUAAGGAUUCUGUGUAAUGAAUAUUUUUCUCAAUUGUUCAAUAUUAAAUUUUUACUAUUUUCUUUACUUUUUUGUAUUGCUAAUCAAUUAUUUUAUAUGAUAAAUUCCUUGCAGUAUACCAUUUAAAGCAUUACUAAAUAUAUUUUCUUCAUUAUAUUCUUAGAGGAUUUAUCAAUUUAAAUUAAUUUUAUAUCUUUAUUUUGAACCUCAAUAACAAAAACUGCAGUCACAACUAACCUGAACAGGGUGUGUUAUGGCCAAGUGUGUUAUACCAUGGAAAGAUGCUAAAAUCAUUGAAUAAACACUCAGUGAAGUGUUAUUCAAAAGUUAUAGUAAGCCUUUAAUUAGUAAUGAGGUUGUAAUUUGUUAUGUAUACAUAUGUUGAGAAGUGAUUGAAACAUUUCUUAUAACUAUUUUAAACUUUUUAAUCAAAAUAAAAUUUUGUAAAUAAUGUUGUUUUAGAUAGCCUUUCAGCUUGUUUAAAUGAAAUGUUCUAUAUCUGUGGUAUGACGCUAGUAGUUGCCAAAGUGUUUGCUUAUUUAAUUAUUUGAUUGAAGUUUUUGUAAGUUCAAAGUUAAAGAGAAGUGAUCUAGACUAGUGUCUUGUCAUAAUAUUAAAUAAUAGUCAGGGAAGAUUGGUCAAACAAGCUAGAACCACUUGGGAAAAUCAAGAAGGCUGUGUAUUUUUAGUGUUGAAAUACCAAGAUCUUUUGUACUUUUAUUUUUACAAAGAUUUGUUUUAUCGAAGCCUAUACUUUUUUGUUUUGUUUUGUUUAAUAACACAACCAUCUUUCAUUUCAUUCAAAAGCCAGAAAGUGUUAACCAGAAAGAAUCUGUGAUGUGUGUUCAGAACAUUUUAACUUGUUCAUGUGAUUAACAUAAUUAUUUGUUUCAUGGAAAAAGAUUUUUAAAAAGAUUUGUUAUAAUCCCUUAUGUUAAAGUUUUUGAAAGGUCACAUUCAAAAAGUUUUCAAAUGCAGUGCCUAUCAAAGAGGAAGUAUGAAUCAAUGUCUUUCAUUCCAAAAGUAUGCCUUUCUGUUUUGUGGUAUAGUUAUUCAAAAUGUGACCAGUUGUUUGUAUUAUAAUUUAUUUGCCAAUGUUAUUGAAGUAAUUUUAAAAUAAAACUUGUUUUUAUAGUUAUAGUCAGUAUGAUUUUUAAAAAUGUGUCUUAGUGCAUUUUUUAUGUUUGUAA